rnacentral:rRNA from 1 species
GUAUGGUGCAAGCGUUAUCCGGAUUUACUGGGUGUAAAGGGAGUGUAGGUGGCAUGGCAAGCCAGAAGUGAAAGCCCGUGGCUCAACUACGGGACUGCUUUUGGAACUGUUGUGCUGGAGUGCAGGAGGGGUAAGCGGAAUUCCUGGUGUAGCGGUGAAAUGCGUAGAUAUCAGGAGGAACACCGGUGGCGAAGGCGGCUUACUGGACUGUAACUGACACUGAGGCUCGAAAGCGUGGGGAGCAAACAGGAUUAGAUACCCUGGUAGUCCACGCCGUAAACGAUGAGUACUAGCUGUCGGAGGUUACCCCCUUCGGUGGCGCAGCUAACGCAUUAAGUACUCCGCCUGGGAAGU